rfam:Felis catus isolate Cinnamon breed Abyssinian chromosome B3, whole genome shotgun sequence.
GCCUGGGUGGCUCAGUUGGUUGAGCGUUUGACUUCGGCUCAGGUCAUGAUCUCACAGCUCGUGAGUUCGAGCCCCAUGUCAGGCU